AGCAGCCGCGGUAAUUCCAGCUCCAAUAGCGUAUAUUAAAGUUGUUGCAGUUAAAAAGCUCGUAGUUGAAUUUCGGGAUCAAUAUGUCGGUCGUGCCUUGGUACGUACUGGUAUCAUUGGUCUCUCCUUUCUGACGAACCAUGGUGUCAUUAAUUUGGUGUUAUGGGAAGUUAGGACUGUUACUUUGAAAAAAUUAGAGUGUUUAAAGCAGGCUUUAGCUUGAGUACAUUAGCAUGGAAUAAUGAAAUAGGACGUUCGAACCUAUUUUGUUGGUUUCUAGGAUCAACGUAAUGAUUAAUAGGGAUAGUUGGGGGCAUUAGUAUUCAAUUGUCAGAGGUGAAAUUCUUGGAUUUAUUGAAGACUAACUACUGCGAAAGCAUUUGCCAAGGAUGUUUCAUUAAUCAAGAACGAAAGUUAGGGGAUCGAAGACGAUCAGAUACCGUCGUAGUCUUAACCAUAAACUAUGCCGACUAGGGAUCGGAUGAUGUUAAUUUUUUAAUGUACUCAUUCGGCGCCUUAC
rnacentral:rRNA from 1 species